GAAUAGAAUGAAGUGUUAAAUAAAAAUGUUAAUAAAUGUUGGCUACACAAAGCGAAGCAAAGGAUUAUGGUCCAUGUAGUUCCAUGUACAAAUCAAUUGGCUGGCAGUGAGCUAAUUUUUGGAGUGCCAAGUAAAAUCCAAUACAUUGUCCAGUGCAAAAUUGAGCAUACGUGUCAUGUACAUAUUGACAUAUACAAUUUAAAAAUCCUCUUUAUCAUGCCUCUGCUGCAAUAUAUUCUCGGUUCACGGACUUAGUGUGUCAGCAUUUGACAUUUUGUGACGAAGCAUUGUUUUAUUGCUAUUAAAAUGACAUGGCUGUAGUCAGUAAUGUGUAUUGUAGAUUUUGAACGGUGAAAGACACAACUCUCCCCUUUCUCACCUAGUUAUUCAACCUGGUGAGAAUCCUUCAUGAACACAUGGACAGUCUUGAAAACAGGGAAGGUGAGAGGCGGGAUACUCGGCCGUCUAUUGAGUUUUCCGACCUGGAUGACGAUUUGGAGGAAUAUUAAGAUGGUGGAAACAGGAAGUUGGAUACAGAGGCAUAUCUCAUUUCACUUUCCUCGCUUCCUUCUCCUCGAUUCCUCUCCUCGAUCCUCCAUUUUUCAGCUGUCAGUCAAAUGCGCCAGAUUAAGUGGUGUCCCGAAAGCUCAGAAGAGACAAGUGAAGGAACCCACAGAGGAAACAUGAGGGGGGGUUCAGGAGGCAGACAUCAGAUAAAAUGAUGAAACUAUAUUUGUCUCACUGUGAGGAGCUUGUAUUGUUGAGAGUGAAGAGUGAAAGUACAGAGAUGGCAGCAAAGGAUUUUAGACAUGUUGCAUUAUUCAGAAUUUGAUAAUAAAACUAAUAAAAAAAAACAUGUUAAAACACAUUUAUCUGAAACCAAAGAUUUAAAGGUGCACUAUGUAACUUUUUAGUUGAGGGUUUGUCACCUGCUUGUUUCUAUGGAUACGUCACUUCUCUGCCUGAAAUGUUCCACAGUAUGACAUUAAAUGGCUCUACCUUACUUUUAUUGCUCAUAAACACCUAGAAAUUAGACAGUCUGACAGUGAGCGGAGUUGCUCUGUUGUUGGUUUGUUUUCCAAGAAGAUGAAAAGAUUUAAUGCCAUACUGUGAAACAUUCCAGACAAAGUAAUAACAUCUCCAUGAAGAAAAGUAUUUGAUGCACCUUCCACCAGAAAAGGUACACAAUACCUUUAACUUUUAAAAAGUUCUGGAUUAGUAAUAUUAUAAAGUAAUCCUCUAAUAUUGUAAAGUCAUUUUGGUCUCCCUCCUCUGCUCCUUUCCUCUUCUGCUCCUCUCUCCUUCCUGUGUCUCCUCUGCAUCUGGGGCUUCCGUCUUCAUGAAUUCUUUCCUCCAUUGUGCAGGAAAGUGGUGAGGAAAUGAGGAAAGAGAAAUGGGACGCAGCCAGAGAGUUUGACACACGCUUUGACCCAAUCUACAGUGGCCGAGGAGGACACUGGGUGCACAAAACAUGCCUUUGCUGCUGCCGCUGGUUUUUGCUUUAUAUGCAAACUAAACAUGGGUGUUGAUUGAUUGAAACGGCUGUAUUAUUUGAGUGCACUUUAUUCUGUUAUAAUUAAGUAUAAAUGCAAACUUUUAAUUGUUAAACCACAAGUGCUUUAAGCUAAUAAAUUGUUAUGUGACAAACUUUUAAUUGGUUCAGAAUAUUAAGUCUAUAAUUGUUUUCUUGUCUUGUUCUCUCAUACAUUUACAUGAGCAACAACAAUCAACACCUCCUUAACUUUCUGUUUAUUUACAAUGCUGUAUCCUAUGUACCUAUGUACAAAUCUAGUUUCAUGCAAUAUUUUGAGAAUAAAGAUUUGACAAUGACUA